rnacentral:rRNA from 1 species
GUCUACAGCCAUGCUACCCUGAACAAGCUUCAUGUCUGAUCUCAGAAGCUAAGAAGGGUUGGGCCUGGUUAGUACUUGGAUGGGAGACCACCUAGGAAGACCAAGUGCCAUAGGCA